UAUUUUUGCUUUAUUGUUUUUUGAAUAUCUUUGCCUUAUUGUUAUUUUAAGCAAGAUAGAUUCCAUAAUUAAGUCCAUAAUUAAGUCCUUAAAUCAAUACAAAUAGGAACUCUUAAUUUUCCAUGACAGUAAUAUUUGAUCUUAUUAUCUGAGGGAAUGGAUGAUUAAUGCAUUAAACACCCAGUAUAUAUUAAUGAGCGAGCUAUUAUCCUUAAUAUUCUUACGACAUAGAAGUAAUUACAACUCACUGAGAAAUGUAUAAAAGAACGUUUUUAGUUGUACAGAUUCAGUCUUUCUUCUGGACCUCAGUUUCUUCUGUUUACAAGCAUCAUGAAGAUCAUCAUAUUAAUUUCUACUCUAUUAAUAUUAUUAAUUCAACUAUCUAACGCACAGUGGGGUCAUUUAGGCGCUUUAGAUGUUGGCUAUGGAAAUGAAGGCUAUAGAAAUUAUCCGAAUGACAAUAAACAAAACUGGAACAGUAUGACGCGACAAUAUCCACCAGGACAAUAUCCACCAGGACAAUAUCGCUCAUUGGGAUAAAGAGAUAAAUGUGUCCUUCUAAUUCAACUACCUGGAAAUCCGGAAUUUCUUUAAUAUAACAUGGUUUUUCUUGUGGGUUACAUAAAUAUUUAUAUC